AUUGAACGCUGGCGGCAGGCCUAACACAUGCAAGUCGAGCGGAUGAAGGGAGCUUGCUCCUGGAUUCAGCGGCGGACGGGUGAGUAAUGCCUAGGAAUCUGCCUGGUAGUGGGGGAUAACGUCCUGAAACGGGCGCUAAUACCGCAUACGUCCUGAGGGAGAAAGUGGGGGAUCUUCGGACCUCACGCUAUCAGAUGAGCCUAGGUCGGAUUAGCUAGUUGGUGGGGUAAAGGCCUACCAAGCCGACGAUCCGUAACUGGUCUGAGAGGAUGAUCAGUCACACUGGAACUGAGACACGGUCCAGACUCCUAAGGGAGGCAGCAGUGGGGAAUAUUGGACAAUGGGCGAAAGCCUGAUCCAGCCAGGCCGCGUGUGUGAAGAAGGUCUUCGGAUUGUAAAGCACGUUAAGUGGGGAGGAAGGGCAGUAAGUUAAUACCUUGCUGUUUUGACGGUACCAACAGAAUAAGCACCGGCUAACUUCGUG
rnacentral:rRNA from 1 species